rnacentral:tRNA from 1 species
GGAAAGAUGGCAGAGUGGUCGAUUGCACCGGUCUUGAAAACCGGCGACUGUAACAGGUCCGGGGGUUCGAAUCCCUCUCUUUCCG